rnacentral:rRNA from 1 species
UACGUAGGGACCAAGCGUUGUUCGGAUUUACUGGGCGUAAAGGGCGCGUAGGCGGCUUGACAAGUCACUUGUGAAAUCUCCGGGCUUAACUCGGAACGGCCAAGUGAAACUGUUAGACUAGAGUGCACAAGAGGAUAGUGGAAUUCCCGGUGUAGUGGUGAAAUGCGUAGAUAUCGGGAGGAACACCAGUGGCGAAGGCGACUAUCUGGGGUGCAACUGACGCUGAGGCGCGAAGGCUAGGGUAGCAAACAGG